CAAUAGCGUAUAUUUAAGUUGCUGCAGUUAAAAAGCUCGUAGUUGGAUUUCGGGUGGGAAUGGCCGGUCCGCCGUUUCGGUGUGCACUUGCUACGCCCACCUUGCUGCCGGGGACGUGCUCUUGAGUUCACGCUCGGGACACGGAGUCGGCGAGGUUACUUUGAGUAAAUUAGAGUGUUCAAAGCAGGCCUACGCUCUGAAUACAUUAGCAUGGAAUAACACGAUAGGACUCUGGCCUAUCUUGUUGGUCUGUAGGACCGGAGUAAUGAUUAAGAGGGACAGUCGGGGGCAUUCGUAUUUCAUUGUCAGAGGUGAAAUUCUUGGAUUUAUGAAAGACGAACUACUGCGAAAGCAUUUGCCAAGGAUGGUUUCAUUGA
rnacentral:rRNA from 1 species